rnacentral:rRNA from 1 species
UACGUAGGGUCCGAGCGUUGUCCGGAAUUAUUGGGCGUAAAGGGCUCGUAGGCGGUCUGUUGCGUCGGGAGUGAAAACUUACAGCUUAACUGUGAGCGUGCUUUCGAUACGGGCGGACUUGAGGCAUUCAGGGGAGAACGGAAUUCCUGGUGUAGCGGUGAAAUGCGCAGAUAUCAGGAGGAACACCGGUGGCGAAGGCGGUUCUCUGGGAAUGUCCUGACGCUGAGGAGCGAAAGUGUGGGGAGCGAACAGG